CACCAGUGGGACUGUCCGACGCGGCCCACUCCCAUCCCCCCUGUUUUGUUUGCGCUCUUACCUCACCUUUAGCUCUCAAGCGAUGGCUUCUGCAGUAGCCAAUGUCAACGCCUCGGCGAAGCAGAUGACGGACAAGGAGAUCACCCGCCAUCGCGUCAUGGCUCGCCUGAGUGAAAUCCGCACGCAGCCCCUGAAGCAGCUGCCCAUGACCGUCUUCAUGAUGUGGAUGGUGGGCAAUGAGGUCAGCAUCUUCUCGAUCAUGUUUGUCGGCAUGGCCGUUGUGAACCCGCUGCAGUCUAUUCUGAGUGCUGGCAAGCUGUUCGCUGACUUCGAAGAGGACACAAAGACCGACCGGCAGAUUCGAUCGGCCGUGAAUCAGGCCCGCUGGAUCUACAUUGGCUGCUGCCUCAUCGCCUUUUUGGUGGCACUUGUGAAGCUGAACUGGAUGGAGCUGCUGCCGGUGAGCUCCAUGGACUGGAUGGACAACACGCCGCCGACAUACCAGGAGCUCAGCAGCGGUGCCUUCUACCGUUGAGCUCUCGCGGAUUAUCUGACGGACGCAGCGUGAACAUGCGCACGGAGCGAAGGGAUCAGCGACGCUGUACCUUGAUGUGUGCACGUGUGUUCUCACUCGCUCUUCCUCUUGUGCGCCGCUUCGGACUGCAUGUGCCGGCGCCAUGUGAAGAGCGGCGUGCUGCUCUUUCGUGCUAUGCGUGUGUGGUGGUGGCGUCCACGCUGUCUCGCCUGCCGGUGCCGCUGUGGGCUGCCGUGUCUGUUCUAAUAGCCGUUGUGUGUGUGUGUGUGUGUGUGUGUGUCUGCCCGUGUGUGAGAGGUAAGCGGAUGUGUGGAUGAUGGGCUAUGGAAGCCGUCGAGAGGCGUAGGGCAUCUGCAGUGGCCCGGUGCCAAGGUCAGACACGGAGGGAGUUAGCCGGAGAGGGCCCGGGUCUCGAGCUGGCGGCAUGAUGGUUGCGCUCUGCGGCCUCCAGCACCGUCAUCGAUUGGCCAGUCCAGGUCCUCCGUCUUUUGUGAUCGCGCUUGGGGAUGCUGCGAAUCCGCUGGCCACGGUGUGGGUGUGACUGUGUGCGCCUUUGGUGCUUAUAUCGUUGUGUGCGGUUCACGGGCCCGCUUGUUUUGGAUUCGG
rnacentral:misc_RNA from 1 species